ACUCACGCUGGAACGCGGAGUAUCUCAAACGCUACGGCGCUACAGGAUGUGGCUGCGGCCGAUUAGGUAGACGGUGGGGUAACGGCCCACCGUGCCGAUAAUCGGUACGGGUUGUGAGAGCAAGAGCCCGGAGACGGAAUCUGAGACAAGAUUCCGGGCCCUACGGGGCGCAGCAGGCGCGAAACCUUUACACUGCACGCCAGUGCGAUAAGGGGACCCCAAGUGUGAGGGCAUAUAGCCCUCACUUUUGUGUACCGUAGGGAGGUACACGAAUAAGAGCUGGGCAAGACCGGUGCCAGCCGCCGCGGUAAUACCGGCAGCUCGAGUGAUGACCGAUUUUAUUGGGCCUAAAGCGUCCGUAGCUGGCCGCGUAGGUUCGUCGGGAAAUCCACCUGCUCAACAGGUGGGCGUCCGGCGAAAACCACGUGGCUUGGGACCGGAAGGCUCGAGGGGUACGUCCGGGGUAGGAGUGAAAUCCCGUAAUCCUGGACGGACCGCCGAUGGCGAAAGCACCUCGAGAAGACGGAUCCGACAGUGAGGGACGAAAGCUGGGGUCUCGAACCGGAUUAGAUACCCGGGUAGUCCCAGCCGUAAACAAUGCCUGUUAGGUGUGGCACCGACUACGAGUCGGUGCUGUGCCGUAGGGAAGCCGAUAAACAGGCCGCCUGGGAAGUACGUCCGCAAGGAUGAAACUUAAAGG
rnacentral:rRNA from 1 species